CACGGAGAGCAAGGCGCGAGCGAGCGAGCGCGAGGCGGAGGGAAGGAAGGCAGGAGGGCGCGCGCGCGCAGGCUCUAAACCCCGGGACCAAGCUGGGCUGGAAGGAGGACCCGCCGUGUCCCUCCUCGACCCGCGGGUUAUGGAGACUCCUGGGGCGCUGAAGGUGGAGCAGCAGAAGCAGAAGCAGCAGCAAGGGAGGCGGCGGCGGAGGGGAGCACAGCGAGGCGAAGCGGGGCUGGCGGCUGCAUCUCUGGCCGAGGGGCGCACGCCCAGGAGAGGGACAGGCCUUUCUUUGUGUGGAAAAAGAAGAUGAUGUUGACGAUGACACAGAUGCAUGGAUGAUUUUAUGUAAUUUACACUUUGUAGCUUUGCAAAAAGCAAUUAUCAUUGUGGAGUGUUUACAAUGAUUUAUGGGAGAAAGUUGGCCUAGUAGAGGGAUGCCGAUAAUAUCAACACAGUGCACUGAAUGUACUUUUACACCUUUAUUGACAUAUAAAUUACCUGUGCCAAGAAUGCAAUGAGGAGGAUGCUGGUGGAGGAAUGUGGAGGAUGGUGGAACAAUGAUGUGGCCUAGACUACUAAGUAUGGAUUCAUCUCUGCCAUCCCUCUAUGAAGCACAUCAAUGGAAUUCUACAUCUGAGCCGAAGUAGAGAAUAAAGGUGCUUGCAAUGCUUUUUUCGUUGAGAUAAUUAGCAGAGAUGGCACACCAGCAUUCUGAAAGGAUUAUAGAAAACAAAGAAAAGAUUUGAAGUUCGUGCAUUUUUUCUUUAAAAAUCACAUUGAUAUUUUCUUACUCAUCCUGUGGAUUUUGAGAAGAAAACUUCAGGAGACACAAGGAAUACUUCUUACUGGGAAAUGGAAUCUGGAUCAGAGUCUAGCCAGCAUCAGAAAAAAAAAGCUGUGACACAUGGACUGGAAGAUCAAAAAAGAGUAAGUGACAAGACUUCACCAGUGGCAUUUUGUGAUUAAAUUGCCGAACAUGAUUCAGGAAGUUCAAAUGCCACUUACAAUUUUUGUAUCCAUUUGCAGAUUUUCAAUGUGGUAGCUGGUAGUGGGUGAGCAUUCUUGGACUGAACACAGUUCUUGCUUAAUUGGCUGGGCACUUCGUGGUGAGGGAGGAGCAAAGAACUGGAAGACAUAAGAGAUCUGUGGAAGACUGAGAGAAGGAAGAGUAGAGUUAAAAACAAAGCUUAGUCAUUUUCGGCAUGUGCUGCUAUAUGAUGACAUCGAGACAGAAAGAGUUAGACUCACUUGUUAUUUGUUUGAUAGAAUCUUUGAAACACAUUUGAAAGGUUGCAUAGGCUUUUAACUUACUGAUUUAUUUAGAUGAAGAGCACAAUCUUACGCAUGUUUAUUAAGAAAUAAGCCCAAUUGCAUUCAGUAGGGGUUAUUCCCAGGUAUGUGUACGUAGGAUUGUAGCCUGAAUGGCAUAGUUGGUUUUUUGUGGAUUUGCUAAAUGUUAUCUUGAAAUAUAUUUCCCAGUGUUUCAUGCAUUAAAAAUAGCAAGCAAUUUUAAAAAUGCUUUUUAUGUCUUCUGUUGGCUAGCGAGAUUUGAAUGGAAAUUUCAAAUGAUCUGGUUCAUAUAAUGAUAUGUAUUGGUAUAUGGCUUUAUAUAUCAGAAUGUGUUAUUUUCCAUCAAUAUUAAUGCAUAGUAGUAAUUAGAGGGUUUUAUUUCUGUACAAGUCAAGGAAAGUAUAAAACAUGAUGUCUUGGUGUAAAAUAUCAUGAAGAUUAUUUG
rnacentral:lncRNA from 11 species